rnacentral:rRNA from 1 species
UGGGGAAUCUUGCACAAUGGGGGAAACCCUGAUGCAGCGACGCCGCGUGAGCGAUGAAGCCCUUCGGGGUGUAAAGCUCUUUCGGCAGGGAAGAUGAUGACGGUACCUGCAGAAGCAGCUGCGGCUAACUACGUGCCAGCAGCCGCGGUAAUACGUAGGCAGCGAGCGUUGUUCGGAGUUACUGGGCGUAAAGGGUGUGUAGGCGGUUGUUUAAGUUUGGUGUGAAAUCUCCCGGCUCAACCGGGAGGGUGCGCCGAAUACUGAAUGACUAGAGUGUGGGAGAGGUGAGUGGAAUUCCUGGUGUAGCGGUGAAAUGCGUAGAUAUCAGGAGGAACACCGGUGGUGUAGACGGCUCACUGGACCAUAACUGACGCUGAGACACGAAAGCGUGGGUAGCAAACAG